rnacentral:RNase_P_RNA from 1 species
GUAGUUCAUUGAGUAAUCGCUUGUAUUUUUAUAAGAGGAAAGUCCGGGCAGUAUAGAGCAACAACAGCCGUUAACGGCGGCCGGGGGUGACCCUAGGGAAAGUGCCACAGAAACAAUACCGCCUUUCGAGGUAAGGGUGAAAAGAGUGGGGUAAGAGCCUACAGCAACGCAUGGUAACAUGCGGAGGAGGUAAACCCUGUUGACUGCAAGGAGAUCUAUAUGUAGGGCUGCUCGUCCGUAGAUCGAUAACCGCUUGAGUGUAUCGGUAACGAUAUGCCUAGAUAGAUGAUUAUUCACGACAGAACCCGGCUUAUAGAUGAACUACAUUU